rnacentral:lncRNA from 1 species
CCUGGCAUCGCUCAGUUGGUUAGGGAUCCAGUGUUGCCAUAAGCUGUGGUGUAGGUCGCAGAUGCAGCUUGGAUCCCGCAUUGCUGUGGCUGUGGUGUAGGCCAGCAGCUGUAGCUCCAAUUUGACUCCUAGCUUGGGAAUCUCCAUAUGGGGCAGGGGCAGCCCUACAAAGCAAAAAAAAAAAAAAAAAAAGUUGUUAGGCUAGUCUGUCAUGUAAUAAGUGCUCAUUAAAUGUUACCUAUUAGUGGAGUUCCUGUCAUGGCUCAGUGGUUAAUGAAUCCAACGAGGAACCAUGAGGUUGCAGGUUUGAUUCCUGGCCUUGCUCAGUGGGUUAAGGAUCCAGUGUUGCUGUGAGCUGUGGUGUAGGUUGCAGACACGGCUUGGAUUCCGAGUUGCUGUGGCUCUGGUGUAGGCCUGUAGCUACAGCUCCAAUUAGACCCCUAGCCUGGGAACCUCCAUAUGCCACAGAAGUGGCCCUAGAAAUGGCAAAAAGACAAAAAAAGAAAAAAGAAAAAAAAAUUACCUAUUAGCUAUCAUUACUGAUAUUAUCACUAAGAUAUAUUAGUUGCAGCAAGUCAAACCAGAGGUAUAUAAAUAAGUAAAAACAGGUGUUCCUAUUGUGCCUUAGUGGGUUAAGAACCCAACUAGUGUUUCUGAGGAUGUGGGUUCAAUCCCUGGCCUUGCUCAGUGGGUUAAGGAUCUGGUGUUGCCACAGGCUGCAGUGUAGGUUGCAGAUGCAACUCAGAUUGGGCAUUUCUGUGGCUGUGGCUGUGGCUGUGGCAUAGGCUGGCUGUGGAUGUGGUUUAGGCCAGCAGCUGCAGAUCCAGUUUGACCUCUAACCUGGGAACUUCCAUAUGCCACAGGUGUGGCCCUAAAAACAAAAAAAUAAUAAUAAUAAAACUAUCUUUUAAUCCACUUCCAUUCCAAAGAUUAAAUUCAUUAAUAAUAACUGGUGAGUCCUUUCUCACUUUUAUCUGGCUGAUACAAAUUUAUAUACGUAAUGUUUACAAGUAUGAUAUUUUUUUUCUUUUUUGGCCACCCUGAGGCAUAUGGAGUUCCCAGGCCAGGGAUCAGAUAUGAGCCACAGAUGGAUCUUUAACCCACUGCGCUGGGUCAGGGAAGGAACCUGUGUCCAAGCAUUGCAGAGAUGCUGUCAAUCCCGUUGUGCUGCAGCGGGAACUCCAGUGUAUGAUUUUUUUUUUUAGUGUAAAAUUUUGCACAUACACACACAUACUUGAACAUGGGAGGUGUAUAUAUGCAAACUCGUCUUUUUUUUUAAUUAAUAUAUAAUGGUCAUAUCUCCAGGUCAAAAAAUAUAAAUCAAAAUCACUAUUUUCAUGGAAUUUACUACUCCAUGGUAUGACUAUAUUUUAUUCAGUAAAAUUACCCCUACUAAUAGUCACUCAAGUUUUUACCCUACCAUGAAUAAUAUACAAUAAACUUACUUGUACUGUUACUUGCAGAUAUAUUCUUUUAUGUUAGUAUCUUUAUUUUAGUAGAAAGAUUUCCAACAGUGGGAUUGCUGACCCUAAGUAGAUGCAUAUUUAGAAUUUUAAUAGAUAUAGCAAUAUUACUGUUCAAAGAAGUCAUUUUUUUUUCACAUAUUCACUUGGUAAGUAUAAGAGUGCUCAUUUCCCUAUAAUUUCACCAGCAUUGAUUAUUCCUGGCAUGGUAAAUUAUCGCAGAUAUGAUGGCUAAAGAGUGUAUUUACCUGACUGCUAUCUUGAGCUUCUUUGCAUUUGUUCAGUGGCCAUGUGAUUUCUACUGCAGCAAAUUCUCCAUUCCCACCCUUGCCUCUAAUCUCCUACAGUAUUAUUUGUCACUCGUAUCAAUCUAGGAUCUCAAUGCAUAUGAUAAUAUUAAGUCUUUGUUUGUCAUUUGUAUUGCUUAUAUAUUUUUUCCAGUCUAUUAUCUUUGGUAUUUUUCCGUGUAUUCUGUAUAAUAUACUUUGAUCUCUAUUUCAGAAAGGAUAGUAUCAACCCAAAUGAAUGCUUUUCAUAGUUCAUUAAAAUAUGGUUAAAUACAGGAAUAAAGUACCUUUCAUACUAUAUAAGUAGAAUUGUUUUCUCCAUUAGAAUAGGAGAGGAUUAUUGUCUCCCCACCCACCUCCACCAAUCUAGAGCCCCCCUCCCCUUUCCCUUAUACAUGUAAUCCUAAAUGCCUAGAAAAGUGCCUGAACCAUGAAAAGCAUUCAAUACAUAUUUAUUGAGUUUUCAAUUUUAACGUUUUAAUAUGUAAUCUAUACACAUAAAGUUACACUGUCACAGCAAAAUGUCUGGAAUAAUUUUUUAAUCAAAUUUGGAAGAUAUUUGAAAUGUUCUGAAUUAAAACACAGAGUAACACAUUCGCCAGGAGGGAUGCUAGGUGGAUUCAGUUCUGUUGUGCCACAAUGGGAACUCCCAAGAAGAUUAGAAAAUUUGAUCUUAAAGCUUCAAAAAAAAGGGUGCCAAUAAAAAUCUAUAAAUUUAUUGUUUCAAAUGGUCCCAAAGUCUCUCUUGGAUAUUUAAAGCAUUCACACUAACACCCUUAAGAUAACUAAAUAAAUUAACUCGAAAACAGAUAUCUAAGAAUUUCUAUCAAUGCCAAAGCUUUUAGUUUUUAUUUAUUAUUUUUCUUUCUUUUUUAGGGGUGCACCUGUGGCCUGUGGAAGACUCCAGGCUAGGAGUCGAAUUGGAGCUGCAUCUGGCAGCCUACACCAUAGCCACAGCAAUACAGGAUCUGAGCUGCAUCUGCGGUCUACACCACAGCUCACAGCAACACAAGAUCCUUAGCCCACUGAGAAGGGCCAUGGAUCAACCCACAACCUCAUGGAUACUAGUUGUAUUUGUUACCACUGAGCUAUAAGGGGAACUCCAAAUUUUAGUUUUUUGAUUUUAGUUUCAGUCCUUUCUAAUACUAGCAGCAAUUACCUACUGAGGCUACUCUGUUUUGUGAUAACAACAAAUCUUGAGUCUAAGCAUAUUAGCCAAACAGGGCUCAGGGGAACAAAUAGCAAUUUAUUUAAGAAUAAAUUCAAAGUUUAAAAAUAUGGCAUAAACCAAAUUCUUGGAUUGGAAGAAUUAAUAUUGUUAAAAUGGCCAUACUACCCAAGGCAAUCUAUAGGUUCAAGGCAAUUGUUAUCAAAAUACCAAGGAUAUUUUUCAUUGAACUAGAACAAAUAAUUUUAAAAUUUGUGUGGAAACACAAAAGGCACCAAUAGCCAAAACAAUCUUGAGAGAGAACAGAACUAGAAGAAUCACACUCCCUAACUUCAGGCUAUACUACAAAGCUACAGUAAUCAAAACAAUAUAGUGCUGGUGCAGAAACAGACACAAAGAAGAAUGGAACAAGGCAGAGAGCCCAAAAAUAAGCCCACACACCUAUGGCCAAUUAAACUAUGACAAAGGAGUCAAGAAAAUACAAUGGAGAAAAGAUAGUCUCUGUAAUAAGCAGUGCUGAGAAAACUGGACAGCUACAUGUGGAAACAAUUAGAUUAGACAUUCUCUAACACUCUUCACAAAAUAAGCUCAAAAUGGAUUAAAGACCUAAAUGGAAGACAGGACACUGUAAAGCUUCUAGAGGAAAACAGGCAGAAUGCUCUGUGACAUGUAUCGCAGCACUAUUUUUUAGAUCUGUCGCCUAAAGUAAAUAAAAGCAAAAAUAAACAAAUAGGAUGUAGUUAAAAGCUUUUGCACAACAAAGGAAAACAUAAAGAAAAUGAAAAGACAAACUACCGAAUGGAAGAAAAUAUUUGCAAAUGAUGACCAAUAAGGGCUU